AACGAACGCUGGCGGCAUGCCUAACACAUGCAAAUCGAACGAGACCUUCGGGUCUAGUGGCGCACGGGUGCGUAACGCGUGGGAACCUGCCCUUAGGUUCGGAAUAACUCCCCGAAAGGGGUGCUAAUACCGGAUAAUGUCUUCGGACCAAAGAUUUAUCGCCUUUGGAUGGGCCCGCGUUGGAUUAGCUAGUUGGUAGGGUAAAAGCCUACCAAGGCGACGAUCCAUAGCUGGUCUGAGAGGAUGAUCAGCCACACUGGGACUGAGACACGGCCCAGACUCCUACGGGAAGCAGCAGUGGGGAAUAUUGGACAAUGGGCGAAAGCCUGAUCCAGCAAUGCCGCGUGAGUGAUGAAGGCCUUAGGGUUGUAAAGCUCUUUUACCCGGGAUGAUAAUGACAGUACCGGGAGAAUAAGCUCCGGCUAACUCCGUG
rnacentral:rRNA from 1 species